ACUCACUCCACUCUGUGUGUGUCUCACUCUGAAGUUCUUCAACGUUUUCGCCCGAAUUGCUAAAAAAUUCCAGCUCUCAAACAUCUCAGAUCCCUAACUCACCCUUCUGGCAUCGACGCCCCAAAGAUUUCCUACAAUUUCAACAACUGCAGUUGGAGGAAACUACGUAAUAAAAUGAGUAGUGAUCCUAGUGAAUGGUGUUCUUUGUUACUCUAUUUCCAUGUAAACAAUACAAGUUCUUUAUUCCCCAUAUUCUAUAAAAAAUUUAGUUUAAUGAAAUGUAAUUAGCUUUUUCAACACACUAUGAAUGUAACCUUUUGAAUUUUGGGUAAUUAAUAAGACACAAUGAUCAUAUUCGUUUUCUCUUUAAAAUCCGCCCUUUUGAUUGUACAUGGGCUCUUGAUGUAAAGUAAAUAGAACGUAAAUGCAGACCGACAUACUUAUUUUACCAUGUCUGGUUAGUUUUUGAAUUAUUUUGGAGAUAGCUGUGUUGAUUUGCAGUUUUGUGGGAUUUACCGAAGCAAAAUUUGCAUUAUCCAAAUUGAUGUAUUUGAGAAUGCAAUUGUGUUGCUGCUGGCUUUUGAGUAUCAAUUCAUUGCUAGGUGUGCAUUAUCCAAAUUGAUGUAUUUGAGAAUGCAAUUAUGUUUUCCAGAUUUUGUAUUUUUCUGUGGAAAUGAUUCAUAGCUGUUGUGGAUUACGGUUUCAAAACCACAGCAGAGCGUGGACGGUUUUUCUAGUACUAUACUAUAUUGAACUCCUUUGUGUAACAUAUAAUUAUGGGUAAUGCUAUUUACACAUCACUUUUUACCUUUUAUACUGUACAGUCUUGUUAACUUCCGUUCAUUGACCUUUUUCAAUUCAUUCGAUCCUUUAUCAAUUCGUUGCACUUAAAUGUCCCAUGGAUUCUACAAUUUCCUAUGUGCUAUUUUAAUUCUCAAGCGAGGUACAAAUUCUUUGCUUGAGGAAGGAUGCAUUUUGUUAAUUUGAUACCAUAUUUGAACAA